rnacentral:lncRNA from 1 species
ACAGAACAGACUCCAGCCCUGGGAGUGGCGUGCCCAGGGAAGAGUCCUCUGGAAUCUGCUGCUGCUCCAGACAAGAUGGGAGAAUGCUGAGCUCACCCAUCCUCUGUGUCACGGUGCAUUCACAUUCCUAGUCCCUGCUGAAGCUGGGGUUGGGUUGGUUGUUCUGGGCCUCUCCCUCCUGGGGGACAGCAAAAUCUGUUCUGGAAAUGAGAUCUGGUGAAACUUCAGAGCUCAUCACAGAACCCCAGAAUGGUUUGGGUAGGAAGGGAUGUUGAAGGCCAUCCCAUUCCACCCCUGCAGGGAAUGGGCAGGGACACCUUCCAGUAACCCAGGGUUCUCCAAGCCCAUCCUGCCUGACAGGGGGAUGGAACUGGAUGAGCUUUAAAAUCUCUAAACCAUUUUGGGAUUCCACAAUACCCUACUCACCUUAACACCUCCAAGAGCUGCUGCUCCGCAGUGUUUUCCCAGGAAGUUUCACUGACUGAGCUUCACUUAACCAGCACUGUGUGUUCUGCUGCAGCACCACUGUGACCUGCGCCCUGCCAGCCCCACAGGUGACGUUCCAGCUCGGGAGCUGCCGGCUCAGCCCCACGGGGAAUCGCCAGAGCCGGCUCGGCGACGGAUCCGGCACCAAGGAGAUGUUUCUCCUUGGCACGCAGAAGGCUCUGGGAAGCUGGGGCUGUGCCCUGCUGCAGGGACCAGGCUGAGGACGGAGGUGGCCAAGGCUGGGAACGCGGCGUUGUCCCCUCCAGGGAGAGCCGGUGACACUCCGGCCGCACGGGGCAAGCCUGGGAAGGGGAGUGGCAGUGAGGGGACAUGGAAGGACAGAGGUGACACUGCAGCUGGAACAGCACCCCGGGCAAGGUCUGCUCAGCACUUCCAGGCAGAAACCUUCACUUCCAGCUCCUCCAGGGCUUCUGCAGCCCAGCCAAGGUAAUGCCUUUGCCAUUCUCCUUAAUGGUGCAAAUCUGGAUCCCCCUGACUUUGCCUGUGGCUGAAAGGGUUUUCAAAGGCUUUCAGAUUCACCCAGUUGAAUUCAGCUGGUGCUUAUCUGAGUUUCAAACAACAAAUUUAGGUUUUUGCCUCAAAAUAGAACAGACGCACUGGUCACUGGGAUAAAAUGUAGGUUAAGGCCUCAUUACCUGUCCAUGGGAGCGCCCUGCUCUCACCUGGGCUCUGAACAGGGGCUGGUUCA